rnacentral:rRNA from 1 species
GCAGCCUGCAACUCGGCGUGCAUGAAGCUGGAAUCGCUAGUAAUCGCGGAUCAGAACGCCGCGGUGAAUACGUUCCCGGGUCUUGUACACACCGCCCGUCACACCAUGGGAGUCGGAAAUGCCCGAAGUCUGUGACCGAACCGAAAGGAAGGAGCAGCCGAAGGCAGGUCGGAUGACUGGGGGUGAAGUCGUAACAAGGUAAC